UCCUACACAUUAUUUCCCUAAUUCUCACAACAAAAUUAACUCAUACUAGCACCAUAGAUGCCCAAGAAAUCAAGACUGUCUGAACUAUUUUACCUGCCAUAAAUUAUCUUACCUUUCAUUGCCCUCCCAUCCCUAUGUAUUCUGUGCAUAACAGAUGAAGCUAUUAACCCUUCUCUUACCAUCGAAGCAAUUGGCCACCAAUGGUACUGAAGCUAUGAAUACAUAGACUAUGAAGAAUUAGGCUUCAAUUCUUAUGUAGUCUCAGCAGCAGACUUAUAGCCAGGAGAACUUUGACUCCUCAAAGAACUGUAUUUGGUGUGACAACAGUUUGAAAAGCGCCACCCAUCCUCUCUGAGACCACAAGCAGCGCUGAAGGCAGUGAACCAAGACUUACAAACAAGGGUGUAGACCAGAGAACACACUGGGGCCAGAGGAGGAGAAAGCAAGAUCUAAGCAGCACAGUUUCAAGUGCGAGGGGAGCAGAAAGCAGCCAGCUCUAAAAAAAAAAAAAAAAAAGAAGAAGAAGAAGAGGCAAAACCCAGAACUCAAACCUCAUGAAACUAUCACACGUUUCAAGCCUUUAAAAGGUGUUUUUACUGCAGAUUUUACAGACUUAUCACCUCGUCAACGGUUAUGAACCCAAAUCCUUGCAAACUGAACAAUAGAGUCAGAUUGGUCUCUCAGUCUCUGCAUGUGAAGGGUCUCUAGGCUUUUCAGGACACCUUUAGGGUCAGGUUUUGUGAAAUAGGUUGAGCCAGCUUUCUGGGGGCUGUAAGCAACCCUGGAGAAAAUGGGCAGAGGGAAAUAAAGGCAUGCCAGUGUGCUUUUCCCAGUGGGGACCUGGCAGCGGCCAAAGCAGGAGAAGUAUUAGAUUCCCAUCUUUUCAUAUCAUGGAAGCCCAUGAUGGCGAUGGGGUGCAGGGCUGACUAACCAUCUUGAGGUCAAGAGGCGGCCCCUCAGGGAUCUGAAGCUGUUUAGCAAGAGCUCAGGAGGGCCCAUCUCCUUGUCCCUCAGGGAGAGCCCCUGGUGCUAUAGCACACCCCCUGGAAGGGGCGGCCCUUGGAGAAAUGUUAGAAUGCUGGGUGAAUUAUUUUCUUCUGAAAUUUCAUCCAAAGUUUCAACAAGGCACCCAAUAGAAGAGUUGUUAAGUACUGUGAGUGGGUGUGGUGGAGGAAGCAGAGAGGGGAAGGGGCAGCUCCGCUCUCACUGUAUCUACUGCUCAUCCUAGAGAUGACCUAAUGUCAAAAACUUUGCAAAUGCCACCAGCUGCCUGUUGCAUCCACGUGGUUCAGUCGUUGCUAUUUACAGAGUAGUAUAAAUGCCCGGUGCUACUGUGACCUAGGGUGCUGAGUACCAAUGUUCCUGGAAGCGCCCCUAGUAGUAUUUCUUUCAUUAGCUGGUAGUUAAUAAAAACUUUAUGCAAGA